GGAGUUAGCCGGUGCUUCUUCUGCGAGUAACGUCACAGAUGUAAGGUAUUAACUUACACCCUUUCCUCCUCGCUGAAAGUGCUUUACAACCCGAAGGCCUUCUUCACACACGCGGCAUGGCUGCAUCAGGGUUUCCCCCAUUGUGCAAUAUUCCCCACUGCUGCCUCCCGUAGGAGUCUGGGCCGUGUCUCAGUCCCAGUGUGGCUGAUCAUCCUCUCAGACCAGCUAGGGAUCGUCGCCUAGGUGAGCCUUUACCUCACCUACUAGCUAAUCCCACCUGGGCUUAUCCAUCAGCGCAAGGCCCGAAGGUCCCCUGCUUUCCCCCGUAGGGCGUAUGCGGUAUUAGCAGUCGUUUCCAACUGUUAUCCCCCACAAAUGGGCAAAUUCCCAGGCAUUACUCACCCGUCCGCCGCUCGUCAUCUUCAAAGCAAGCUUUGAAAUGUUACCGCUCGACUUGCAUGUGUUAGGCCUGCCGCCAGCGUUCAAUCUGAGCCAGGAUCAAACUCUGA
rnacentral:rRNA from 1 species